AACGAACGCUGGCGGCAGGCCUAACACAUGCAAGUCGAACGCCCCGCAAGGGGAGUGGCAGACGGGUGAGUAACACGUGGGAACGUACCCUUCGGUUCGGGAUAACUCAGGGAAACUUGAGCUAAUACCGGAUACGUCCGGGAGGAGAAAGAUUUAUUGCCGAAGGAUCGGCCCGCGUCUGAUUAGCUUGUUGGUGAGGUAACGGCUCACCAAGGCGACGAUCAGUAGCUGGUUUGAGAGGAUGAUCAGCCACAUUGGGACUGAGACACGGCCCAAACUCCUACGGGAGGCAGCAGUGGGGAAUAUUGGACAAUGGGCGCAAGCCUGAUCCAGCCAUGCCGCGUGAGUGAUGAAGGCCUUAGGGUUGUAAAGCUCUUUUACCUGGGAAGAUAAUGACGGUA
rnacentral:rRNA from 1 species